rnacentral:rRNA from 1 species
UACGAAGGGUGCAAGCGUUACUCGGAAUUACUGGGCGUAAAGCGUGCGUAGGUGGUUUGUUAAGUCUGUUGUGAAAGCCCCGGGCUCAACCUGGGAAUGGCAAUGGAUACUGGCAGGCUAGAGUGCGGCAGAGGGGGGUAGAAUUCCACGUGUAGCAGUGAAAUGCGUAGAGAUGUGGAGGAAUACCGAUGGCGAAGGCAGCCCCCUGGGCCAAUACUGACGCUCAUGCACGAAAGCGUGGGGAGCAAACAGG